rnacentral:misc_RNA from 1 species
UAUAUUAUGAAAUUUGGACGAUU